rnacentral:rRNA from 1 species
GACGAACGCUGGCGGCGUGCCUAACACAUGCAAGUCGAACGGAACUGUUUUGAAAGAUUUCUUCGGAAUGAAUUUGAUUUAGUUUAGUGGCGGACGGGUGAGUAACGCGUGAGUAACCUGCCUUCAAGAGGGGGAUAACAUUCUGAAAAGAAUGCUAAUACCGCAUGACAUAUCGGAAUCACAUGAUUUUGAUAUCAAAGAUUUUAUCGCUUGAAGAUGGACUCGCGUCCGAUUAGUUAGUUGGUGAGGUAACGGCCCACCAAGGCGACGAUCGGUAGCCGGACUGAGAGGUUGAACGGCCACAUUGGGACUGAGACACGGCCCAGACUCCUACGGGAGGCAGCAGUGGGGAAUAUUGCACAAUGGGGGAAACCCUGAUGCAGCGACGCCGCGUGGAGGAAGAAGGUCUUCGGAUUGUAAACUCCUGUUGUUGGGGAAGAUAAUGACGGUACCCAACAAGGAAGUGACGGCUAACUACGUGCCAGCAGCCGCGGUAAAACGUAGGUCACAAGCGUUGUCCGGAAUUACUGGGUGUAAAGGGAGCGCAGGCGGGAAGACAAGUUGGAAGUGAAAUCUAUGGGCUCAACCCAUAAACUGCUUUCAAAACUGUUUUUCUUGAGUAGUGCAGAGGUAGGCGGAAUUCCCGGUGUAGCGGUGGAAUGCGUAGAUAUCGGGAGGAACACCAGUGGCGAAGGCGGCCUACUGGGCACCAACUGACGCUGAGGCUCGAAAGUGUGGGUAGCAAACAGGAUUAGAUACCCUGGUAGUCCACACCGUAAACGAUGAUUACUAGGUGUUGGAGGAUUGACCCCUUCAGUGCCGCAGUUAACACAAUAAGUAAUCCACCUGGGGAGUACGACCGCAAGGUUGAAACUCAAAGGAAUUGACGGGGGCCCGCACAAGCAGUGGAGUAUGUGGUUUAAUUCGACGCAACGCGAAGAACCUUACCAAGUCUUGACAUCCCUUGACAGGCAUAGAAAUAUGUUUUCUCUUCGGAGCAAGGAGACAGGUGGUGCAUGGUUGUCGUCAGCUCGUGUCGUGAGAUGUUGGGUUAAGUCCCGCAACGAGCGCAACCCUUAUGGUCAGUUACUACGCAAGAGGACUCUGGCCAGACUGCCGUUGACAAAACGGAGGAAGGUGGGGAUGACGUCAAAUCAUCAUGCCCUUUAUGACUUGGGCUACACACGUACUACAAUGGCGUUAAACAAAGAGAAGCGAGACCGCGAGGUGGAGCAAAACUCAGAAACAACGUCCCAGUUCGGACUGCAGGCUGCAACUCGCCUGCACGAAGUCGGAAUUGCUAGUAAUCGUGGAUCAGCAUGCCACGGUGAAUACGUUCCCGGGCCUUGCAC